GACGAACGCUGGCGGCGUGCUUAACACAUGCGAGUCGAACGGAAAGGCCCUGCUUUUGUGGGGUGCUCGAGUGGCGAACGGGUGAGUAACACGUGAGUAACCUGCCCUUGACUUUGGGAUAACUUCAGGAAACUGGGGCUAAUACCGGAUAGGAGCUCCUGCUGCAUGGUGGGGGUUGGAAAGUUUCGGCGGUUGGGGAUGGACUCGCGGCUUAUCAGCUUGUUGGUGGGGUAGUGGCUUACCAAGGCUUUGACGGGUAGCCGGCCUGAGAGGGUGACCGGCCACAUUGGGACUGAGAUACGCCCAGACUCCUACGGGAGGCAGCAGUGGGGAAUAUUGCACAAUGGGCGGAAGCCUGAUGCAGCAACGCCGCGUGCGGGAUGACGGCCUUCGGGUUGUAAACCGCUUUCGCCUGUGACGAAGCGUGAGUGACGGUAAUGGGUAAAGAAGCACCGGCUAACUACGUG
rnacentral:rRNA from 1 species